AGUGAACGCUGGCGGUAGGCCUAACACAUGCAAGUCGAACGGCAGCACAGUAAGAGCUUGCUCUACCGGUUGGGCGGUGCGGUCCGGGGGGGGAAUCAACGGGAAUGUAUUUUUCCUGGGGGCUUAAGGUAGGAAACCUAAGCUAAAUCCAGUACCGCACUAUGGGGGUAAUUACGGGAUAAUUGGUACUUGGGCGGAUUUAUGACCCUAUGUCGGGUUAGCUAGUUGGCGGGGUAAAGGCCCAACAAGGCGACGAUCCGUAGCUGGUCUGAGAGGAUGAUCAGCCACACUGGAACUGAGACACGGUCCAGACUCCUACGGGAGGCAGCAGUGGGGAAUAUUGGACAAUGGGCGCAAGCCUGAUCCAGCCAUACCGCGUGGGUGAAGAAGGCCUUCGGGUUGUAAAGCCCUUUUGUUGGGAAAGAAAAGCAGCAGGUUAAUACCCCGCUGUUCUGACGGUACCCAAAGAAUAAGCACCGGCUAACUUCGUG
rnacentral:rRNA from 1 species